rnacentral:lncRNA from 1 species
GUCAGCAGUUUGAGACCAGCCUGACCAAGAUGGUGAAACCCUGUCUCUACUAAAAUUACAAAAAUUAAGCUGUGUGUGGUGGUGCACGCCUGCAAUCCCAGGUACUCAGGAGGCUGAGGUGGGAGACUCGCUUGAACUUGGGAGGCGGAGGUUGCAGUGAGCCGAGAUCGGGUUACUGCACUCUAGCAUGGGCGACAGAGUGAGACUCCAUCUCAAAAAAAAAAAAAAAAAAAAAGGAGCCAACUUCAAAGUGCCAACUGCCCCAGCUAUUUGUACUUGUAAAGGCCACUGCACAACAGCCCCUAGAGGGGCGUGCUCCUCUGAGAGGGAGACUUUCCCCUCCUCCUCUUCCUCCCUACACUGACUGCUGAGGGGGUAGCUGGGGUGCCAGGGUGCCUGGCCCAGGACCUGGAUCACAGUGUUUCUUCUCCCUUGCUCAGGACCCCCAUAGCCUCCAUCCCUUCAGUUAGGAGACCCCAGCUCACCCUAAGAGGGUAGGCUUCCUUCCCUCGGAGCCCACAGCUCUGUGCCCUGUCAGACAUGGAACCCUGGGUUUGGAGCAAGAGCUCCCUGCUAAUCAGAGUGAGAGUCUCCUUGGGACCAGAGCUGCCCAGCUUUCUCCAUCCAGCUGCUGCUCGCUCUGCCACCUCAGGCCAGAGAGAAGUCCAGUCCUGGGGACUCUAAGGACUCUGAGGACAGGAGACACUUGUGUUACCCCGGAGGCUGCGAGGGAGGUAAGUGGAGUAUCCUGGGGCCCAUCCCCACCUCAGUUGGAAAGGACUGCCUUCAUCCCUCCAACUUGUAGUUCUCCCCUUUAACCCCAUCCUGGGGUUCUAAGGAUCACCCAAAUCUCUUAAGCCCAGGAGCUCCUUCCCCAUUGAGCUUCUGCAGCUCAUGGACCACUGGCUUAUCUGUUCACAUGAGGGGCUCAGAGAGAAAGGGAGUCUCUGGACAAGAAGGGAGCUUAGCAUGGGAAAGGCUCCCAGAGAAGAGAGAUAGGAGAGAAAGAGGGUGUCAGGUGCAGCCAGAAUGUAGGGCUUUGGGCCUGCUUCUGGGCCAAGGUCCUCCAGGGCCAGAAUUCUCCAGGGAGGGGCCCCAGUUAGGCACUUGGGGCCCUGGAUUGUGACACAGCUGCCCCCACUCUCAAUUUCUGCAGCCCCUAAGCUCUGAGCUUCAUUCUCAGAGCCAUCUGAUAGUCCCAACCCCAUCUGGGGUGUCAGGAGCUCGGACUGUUUUAGGGCUUCAAAUCAGUGACUGGGCUACCAGGGAGAACAGGGUAGGGAGGGUCAGUUCUAGGUCCCUGGAUGGGCUGGGGGACCAUGUGGCUUCCAGGGCUGAUGAAGGCUGGGCUGCCUCUCCUCUAGGGGAGGCCUGGGCAGUAGCUCAGGUAUGGUGGGUGGCCAGUGCAAGAGGAGGGUUACUAGUGGCCAUGGGAGGCCUGGGCCUGCCACCAGGGUGGAAUGGUGUGGACAGAGGUUUCUCCUAGGGCUUUCGGAGACCAGCCUUCCAACCAAGAGCUAUGAAGAGUAGGCCAGGGUGGGAGCUGGCGCUGAGGAGGCAGCAGAUGACUCACACCCUCC